rnacentral:rRNA from 1 species
GACGAACGCUGGCGACGUGCUUAACACAUGCAAGUCGAACGGGGGCUUGCCCUUUGGGGUGGGUUUAGUGGCGAACGGGUGAGUAACACGUGGGUAAUCUGCCCUCAGCUCUGGGAUAACUCCGGGAAACCGGGGCUAAUACUGGAUAUGACUACUGGUGACAUCGCCUGGUGGUGGAAAGAUUUUUUGGCUGAGGAUGGGCCCGCGGCCUAUCAGCUUGUUGGUGGGUAAUGGCCUACCAAGGCUUCGACGGGUAGCCGGCCUGAGAGGGCGACCGGCCACACUGGGACUGAGACACGGCCCAGACU